ACAAGUUUUUAUUUUAUUGGAGACGGCGGAUGAGGUGCAAAAGGACAGAUGGCAUUACCAAGAACCAGAUAUGGUGCGACUGAAUCUCGGCACGGAGGAGGCGUCAAAGAUGAUCGAAAUCGGGAUUUUUCUAUUUAGUUAACACCUUUUCUCAUUGAGUAUUAAAUUCUUAGUGUACCAUAGGCGGUAAUCUGGCUUUAAUCGAUUCCCUUCUUAUAGUUAAAGAUUUCAGUCUGGAAACAAAAACAUCAGUAAGGUGUUUUCGUUCGGAUAUAAACAUGGCAAUCUACGUAUGUGAAGUCUCGAUGAAGCUGUCCAAGUGUAGAUCCAACGCACUACUCAAGUAGGCUUUCCUACUGCCAUUGAGAAAGAAAUGCCCUUGACGCAUUUC
rnacentral:lncRNA from 1 species